AUGGAGGCUAAUGUUGGACCGGUGGUGCGCCGGCUCUACCUCUUUGUCUAUAAUUGGGCUGCGUUCUUUGGAUGGGCACAGGUGUUGUGCUACGCAACAUUGGCAUUGUUGGAGAGGAGGCCUGAGGCUAUCUACACCGCGAUCGAGCGGCCGCUACUGGUCACACAGACUGCCGCUUUAAUGGAGAUUGUUCAUUCACUUGUAGGGCUUGUGAAGUCUCCUGUCUCCGCAACAAUUCUACAACUUAUUGGAAGGAUAUUUGUUGCAUGGGGUGUCUUGUGGAGCUUUCCCGAGACGCGCCCUCAUAUUCUUGUUACUUCCUUGAUCCUAGCAUGGUCCAUUGCUGAGGUCAUCAGAUAUCCUUACUAUGGUAUGAAGGAGACAUUUGGAUUUGCACAUUUCUGGCUAUUAUGGCUUAGGUAUAACAUGUUCAUCGUACUCUAUCCUAUCGGUAUGCUAAGUGAAGUUGGCCUCAUAUACGUCACAAUGCCUUACAUGAAGGCCUCCAAUAAAUAUUGCCUUCAAAUGCCCAAUAAAUGGAAUUUCUCCUUCAACUACCACUAUGCAUCUGUUCUUCUAAUGGGUAUCUAUUUUCCAGGAUUUCCACACUUGUACCGUUAUAUGCUCCUUAGGAGGAAGGUGGUCUUGUCAAAGGCAAAAUCCGCAUGA
rnacentral:rRNA from 1 species